UAUUUAUUAGUUUAUAAAAAAACAUUAUAUUUUCAAUAUAAAAAUAUUUAAAAU
rnacentral:tRNA from 1 species